UACAGAGGUCCCAAGCGUUGUUCGGAUUCACUGGGCGUAAAGGGUGCGUAGGCGGUCGGGUAAGUCUGAUGUGAAAUCUCACAGCUUAACUGUGAAACUGCAUUGGAUACUAUCCGGCUCGAGGAAUGGAGGGGAGACUGGAAUACUUGGUGUAGCAGUGAAAUGCGUAGAUAUCAAGUGGAACACCAGUGGCGAAGCGAGUCUCUGGACAUUUCCUGACGCUGAGGCACGAAAGCCAGGGGAGCAAACGGG
rnacentral:rRNA from 1 species